AUUGUGUUGCUUGUUUAAAAUUUCAUUUAAUUUAAAAAAAGGCUAAGUGGAAAAUUGAGUAAAUAUCUUGGGUCACAUAUAUUCAAAGAGGUUGAAAACCGCUAGUAUAUGUAUAUUAUAAUACUCCGAAUUCAAAUUUUAUUAAAUGUGUAAAACCGUAGAAAAAAAUAGAUGUGCGGAGUUUGGUAGGUGGAACAUAAGGUUAUUUGAUUUACAGACUAAAACAAAAUUGAAUACCUACAACGAAUAAAAUAUGUCAUCCUCCUGUUUAAAGAGUUUUACCUACAGACUUAAAAGCGUUGUAAAAAAAAAAAACAAUAAUGUACAUAUUUUAACAAGCAAAAUAAUUGUAUAAUCAUUUUAUGUCCAAUAAAAACAUAUAUGUACAUACAUAACAUUAAAUUUAAAUAGUUAAUUUGUAAUUAAAAGCAUGCGAAUUGCAGCGAUAGGCAUGCAAAUACAGCAGAAUCCGCUUAAUUGGGACACCGUAUAAAGGGGAACAACCGCUUAAUGGGGACGAAUUGGCAUAGUCCCGAACGAAUGUAUUCGUUUAAGGCAAUUUAACUUCGUUUAUCU